GCACUGCUGACGAGUCCCGAACAGGACGAAACAGCUGUCCAAUGU
rnacentral:hammerhead_ribozyme from 1 species